rnacentral:rRNA from 1 species
AUUGAACGCUGGCGGCAGGCCUAACACAUGCAAGUCGAGCGGAUGAGUGGAGCUUGCUCCAUGAUUCAGCGGCGGACGGGUGAGUAAUGCCUAGGAAUCUGCCUGGUAGUGGGGGAUAACGUUUCGAAAGGAACGCUAAUACCGCAUACGUCCUACGGGAGAAAGUGGGGGAUCUUCGGACCUCACGCUAUCAGAUGAGCCUAGGUCGGAUUAGCUAGUUGGUGGGGUAAUGGCCCACCAAGGCGACGAUCCGUAACUGGUCUGAGAGGAUGAUCAGUCACACUGGAACUGAGACACGGUCCAGACUCCUACGGGAGGCAGCAGUGGGGAAUAUUGGACAAUGGGCGAAAGCCUGAUCCAGCCAUGCCGCGUGUGUGAAGAAGGUCUUCGGAUUGUAAAGCACUUUAAGUUGGGAGGAAGGGCAGUAAGUUAAUACCUUGCUGUUUAGACGUACCAACAGAAUAAGCACCGGCAACUU